CAGUAGGCCGCAACUUAUGAUUGAUACAAAGCCCAAGUGGGUGAAGCUCCUCGCCAAUCUCCAAUGGUUGUGCUCCUCAGAGCGGGAGGUCAAUUGGGUUCUCGCAGACUGCGCUGGUAAUAUAAAUGAGGCAUAUUGGGGAAGAUUUAUGUUUGAUGGCAGGGAUAUCUCUUCUCUAGAGAAGGAGCUUAGCCUGCUGGUUUCCCUACCGACCACUCUCUGCGUUCGUGCUGGCCGCCACGGGCAACCAACCCCGCUUUGCAUCAACUUGCCCCGGAGCAACGAGCCACUACACGUCGUUUUAUUUCUGAAAAACACAACAGGAAGUGGUAGACUGGUAUAUCCUGAUCUGAGCCAACAAGGUCCUCGAAUUAAGUUGGAUUGAGGUGAUCAACAAAAUGACCAG